rnacentral:lncRNA from 1 species
AUCUGGAGUGAUAGAUGGGGAAUAAAGGAGAUCUGGCUACACAGUUUUGUGGCAUUUCUGAUAGAUAAGCUGAGGAAUGGUGGCCAUAACUCAAGCUCAUGAGGACAUCUCCCUGUCCUUGUCUUGUGACUUCUGGCCACUAGACAGGGCCACUCUGAGUCUUUUACUCUGCGUGUUGGUAUAUGAGAUGGAAAUGCCUGUUCUUAGGAAUUUUACACAGAUUUUCUUACUGUAAUGGUCAAAGAGUAAUAAAAGUUCUGUUUUAAAAGCUAGAUGGCCAAAGAGUAAUAAAAGUUCUGUUUUAAAAGCUAGAUUCUCUCUUUUAAUAGGGUUACCAUCCAUAUAAUUUAUUCUUCAAACCACGAUGCUUUUGAGAGUGAAAAGGGGGCUGUUAAUAAUUCUGAUGGGACAAUAGUCAUACAUAGAUCAGGAGUGUCCCAAGCAAACUGGAUAUGUGGUAGCCCUGCAUUUUAGCACCGGCUUCUCUGUACUCUACCCCUAAGCUUUCUAGCUCCUAAGUGGAGCGAAAAAUGUAUCAAGGCAUAUAUCCAAUUUAGUGCUACUUACCUUUUCAAAGAGCUGACCAAAAUUCACGCAACAAAAUGACACUGCCUUUGGUGAGAUCUAAAUGAAAGCUAUAACUAAGCUAUUCUUUCAGGCUGGGUAAGGGGAAAGUAUAGCCAAUAUCCCCAUAGUUAUAUAUCAAAACUUUUUUUUUUAACUUUUUAAGUUCAGAGGUACAAGUGCAGUAAAGCUUUAAUACUAAAGGAAAUAGUUCACAAGUCAACCAGGGAUACUUAUGUCAUACUUGGGAAACCAGGGCCCAGGAGGUCUGAGAAUUGCAUGUUACCUUCAGAGGAAAAAUCUAACAGCAGAUCUCUCGUGUGUUGAAAAUUCUCAGAUUGUUUUGUGUAAAUUUAUUGUUGUUUUGCUACUUAAUUGUUAAAUUUGUAAUUAGUAAAUUAUUCGACUAGUAAA